rnacentral:rRNA from 1 species
GGAUUAGAUACCCUGGUAGUCCUAGCUGUAAACGAUGGGCACUAGGUAGUGGGGGUUACCGACACUCUCACUGCUGGAGCAAAUGUAUUAAGUGCCCCGCCUGGGGAGUAUGCUCGCAAGGGUGAAACUCAAAGGAAUUGACGGGGGCUCACACAAGCGGUGGAGCAUGUUGUUUAAUUCGAGACUACGCGAAGAACCUUACCUGGGUUUGAAAUGGUAGGCAUAAAGCUAUCGAAAGAUAGUGGAUUGCCCUUCGGGGUGUAACCUACUACAGGUGCUGCAUGGCUGUCGUCAGCUCGUGCUG